UAGAGUUUGAUCAUGGCUCAGGACGAACGCUGGCGGCGUGCUUAACACAUGCAAGUCGAACGAUGAAGCCCGGGCUUGCCCGGGUGGAAGAGUGGCGAACGGGUGAGUAACACGUGAGUAACCUGCCCAUCACUCUGGGAUAAGCGCUGGAAACGGCGUCUAAUACUGGAUACGAGCCACACGGGCAUCCGUAGUGGUUGGAAAGAUUUAUCGGUGGUGGAUGGACUCGCGGCCUAUCAGCUGGAUGGUGAGGUAAUGGCUCACCAUGGCGACGACGGGUAGCCGGCCUGAGAGGGUGACCGGCCACACUGGGACUGAGACACGGCCCAGACUCCUACGGGAGGCAGCAGUGGGGAAUAUUGCACAAUGGGCGCAAGCCUGAUGCAGCAACGCCGCGUGAGGGAUGACGGCCUUCGGGUUGUAAACCUCUUUUAGUAGGGAAGAAGCCUUCGGGUGACGGUACCUGCAGAAAAAGCACCGGCUAACUACGUGCCAGCAGCCGCGGUAAUACGUAGGGUGCAAGCGUUGUCCGGAAUUAUUGGGCGUAAAGAGCUCGUAGGCGGCUUGUCGCGUCUGCCGUGAAAACCCAGGGCUCAACUCUGGGCGUGCGGUGGGUACGGCAGGGCUAGAGUGCGGUAGGGAGAUUGGAAUUCCUGGUGUAACGGUGGAAUGCGCAAAUAUCAGGAGGAACACCGAUGGCGAAGGCAGAUCUCUGGGCCGUAACUGACCGCUGAGGAGCGAAAGCAU
rnacentral:rRNA from 1 species